GUUGAAAUACCGGUUCCCGUACGAUCACUAGAGUUAAGCAAUGUCGAACCUGGUCAGUACCUAGAUGGGUGACCGCUUGGGAAUACCAAGUGCUGUAA
rnacentral:rRNA from 1 species